UGAACAUAGAGGUAUCGAUGGGGAUG
rnacentral:piRNA from 1 species